rnacentral:lncRNA from 1 species
UAAUGUGGCAGGACACCGCAUCUUUCUUAAGCAUGGAUUAUCUUAUAUUAACUUAGUGAUCAUGAAAAAACAUUUGUACAAACGUCAUACUUAAAAUCACAGAAAUUAAAUAUGAGAUGAAAUGGAUUCCUCAUUAAGAACAAGAAGCAAGGUUUAUACAACUCCAAGAACAAAAAUUAAAAACAAUACAAAAUCCUUGUUGCUUGUCAGGGCUUCAUCCAGCCCUAGUGAAGGGAUCAGCCAUGCAUAUAGUUGUGGAUGAUAGCAGCAGCGCAAAGAGCUUCCAUCUUUUCUUUCCUUCCUCCCCUCUCUGAUUCUCUCCUCCCUUCUGUGUCUUCCAUGGAACUCCCUGAAUAAAAGAGUUAGUGGAUGGGAACCGAUGGGUCCGAAGAAUGAAUUCCCAAGGAGGAGAACUCUCCUCCUUUUAUAGGCUCGACAUCCCCUGUUUUACUUGACGUGCGAGUGGAGGAUAAGGACGUGGAAAGGAGGCGGAAGCUUGAUCCGAUCUGUAGAUGAUGGGAGAUUUGCAGGAUCUGAUCUGGACGUUGGGAUAGGGAUGCAAGGCUGGUUCGGAUCCGUUAGCUGCUUUCCGUGAAGUCUGGGGUGCAUGCGGAAGCUUAGAUUUGCUGGGAGGAAGUGAUUCUGAAGCAAGGGAAUUUCAGGAUGCCCACGGAAGAAGUUUGAUCCGAUUUGUGAGUGUAGGGAAGAAGCUUGGACACGGUUGGGAACGACUGGAUUCGGCUGGAAGUAGUCCCGAAACAGGGGAAUCUGUGAGGCUCGGAAUGCACGCGGAGGAUGGGUAGCUGGACGCGAUCGAGUGGAAGGCUGGCUUGAUUUGGAAGAGGAGAUCCGGGAGAUAAUCAAUCUAGAAAGCUGGAACUCAUUAGCUUCAUCGCGGUUGGCUGGAAUGAGCGUGGAUGGUUGGCACUCUAUUCUGAAGCAGGGGAAUCCGGAAGAAGAUUUGAUGGCUGGGAGCUUAUCCGUGGAGGGGGAAGCGGUUGUUUUGAUUCGUGAUGAAGAGGAGAUGAUUUAGGAGUAGGGGAUGUGAAGGAAUCGGCUGAUUAGUUGCAAUUUGUUGGAAGUUUUGCUCUUCACGGCUGAAGCAGGGGAUUCGGUUUGGAUGAAGAAGAGGGAGCUGGGAGGAACUCACGGAAAAGGAAAUCCAGACGUGGGAUGUANNN